rnacentral:rRNA from 1 species
GACGAACGCUGGCGGCGUGCUUAACACAUGCAAGUCGAACGGUGAAGCGCCUUCCUUUUUGGUGGGUGUGGAUGAGUGGCGAACGGGUGAGUAACACGUGAGUAACCUGCCCCCUUCUUCUGGAUAACCGCAUGAAAGUGUGGCUAAUACGGGAUAUUCUGGGUCUGUCGCAUGAUGGGUCUGGGAAAGAUAUUGUUUCGGUGGGGGAUGGGCUCGCGGCCUAUCAGCUUGUUGGUGGGGUGAUGGCCUACCAAGGCGGUGACGGGUAGCCGGCCUGAGAGGGUGGACGGUCACACUGGGACUGAGACACGGCCCAGACUCCUACGGGAGGCAGCAGUGGGGAAUAGUGCACAAUGGGCGCAAGCCUGAUGCAGCGACGCCGCGUGAGGGAUGGAGGCCUUCGGGUUGUGAACCUCUUUCGCCAGUGAAGCAGGCCUGCCUCGUUUGUGGGUGGGUUGACGGUAGCUGGGUAAGAAGCGCCGGCUAACUACGUG